UCUUCCGUUGCACAAACUCUCUGCCCCUGUCUAGCAGCUCAGGAGAUGUCCCCCAGUUUAUUGUUACAUUUAUCGGCAAAUUUAUCAUGGUCUAUUGCCCAUGAGGGCACAGGGGUGACAAGGCAAAUGAAAUCAUUUGACUAAGAUAAUGCCAUGGAUGUGUGGGAUAGGACUGAGGAUUUCCCAUGGGAAGCAGGUGGAGGCGUGAGAACAGAUCAUGGAAUUUGAAGAUGAAGGACAAAAGCCUGCUCCUAGCCCAGCAUGCCCACAGCCCAGGGCAGAUGAGUCAAAACCAUUCCCUCCCAGGCCUCUCUCAGUCCUAUGGCACCACACCUGCAUUUGGACAAUGAACUUUAAGACCACCAACAUCAUCUGUUUUGCCUCUCCCUUUUGAUUGGGCCACUCGCAAGAAAGACAUAAUGUAAAAUGUUUCCAUCCA